UUUACUAUUGUGGCAGAAGCAGGAAACUUUGUUUAUUGGAAAAAAAAAAAAAAAAAAGAAAAAGCAAGAAAAAAAAAAAAAGAUACUAUGGGGUCAAGUGUAACUCCGUGGGAUGCCACAUCUGCUCUUCAGUGAAGAAGCUGUUUAGAGUCUCAGAAAACUUUUUGACUGUAUUUAUUUAUUGUUGCAAAAAAAAGACGCUUUUUUAUUGCUGCCCUCAUUUGUCAGCUAAUUAUUUUUUCUUAUACAAAUCCAGCCCUGGUUCCGUGUAUCCACCCUGUAUCCUAUCAUGAUUCCUGUAGGUGAAGUACAAGGCGACCUCUAGGUGUCUUUUCUUUCUAUGAAAGGAGCUGCUAUGUACACAUGUGCACACACAACUGGGAAUCAACAAUGAGUUUAUUGUUCACGGGAGACACAAGUGAAGCUUGCGGAAAGGUUGGGCUAAGUGGUCCUGGACUAACAGACUUCGUUGCCUUGAAUACACCAGUACAAAUUGUCAUUUACUCUGCACCAGGCUAAAUGAGCAAAAUCUAUUUGAAGGUAUCUUGUUUGUAAACAUUGUCAGAUUCUAAUUUUUUUCUUUUUGUAUUAAAAUUCAACUAUGGAUGUAUACGAAUCGAAAUAAAUGGAGAUCAUUUUUCUCCCACAGAUGGAGGUCUCUUUGAAUGUGCGCUGUGAUUACCUGUAAGCCUUUGUGGGGGACGGGGCGGGGGAGAGACCAGGAAUGACAGGAAGACCUGGAUUUCUCUAGAAUAGCAGAGGCCCUUCCUUUCCUAAGUCCCUUCUCACCACAUCAGAGAAAAUCUCCAGGGAGCCGGUCCCUUGCAUCUCUUGGUCAUCCCUGUAAUAACGGGAAUAUGACACAGUACAAGCUGCCUUCAUCCCCGCCUUCCAAAACUGUAGACAGAUUCCUGUGUGGGAUGAAGGGUGUUUGCUGGCCGGGUUCCUUGGGUUUUGUUUGUUGCAGUAGAGCAGGGUAGAGGGUAGAGCAGACAGGCUCGCCCUGCAUCUUCCUCCUGCGGGUGCUCUCACCCUCCCUCCCCUUGGAGCUGCUUGCUGUGUUGUGAAAACCAGCCAGGAUUGAGUCAGGCUGCCUCGCAGAUGUUUUCCUAGAUUUGCACUAGUCCAUGUUAGCCCUGUCCUGCUGGGUUCUAGAAUCUACCUAGUUUUUGUUUUUUAAAAGCCGCCUCUGUGCAUUUGGUGUCGCCCUGCUAUGCAAAGCCUUCCCCAGCCCUUAGUUUCUUGAAAGGAAACUGUGGCAGCAGUUGGCAAAUUCUUCCUUAUGACAGGCUCAGGUGUACAGGUUCUUCUGGGUCACGUGCUCUAUGGAAGCCUACUCCCUCUGUACAUAAAAAUGUCACUUUAGCCUGUGCUUACAGCUAAAGAGACUUAACUGCUCAAUAUGAUAGCAAAGUUUUUGCUUAAACUAUUAAGGUGGAAGUAGUUAAAUACAGGCUAUUUUGUUCUUUUAGUUUACAAAAAAGAAAAAAGAAAAAAAAUGUUCCACGUUGUAGGCACUGUGCUGAUGCAAGAAUUCUACAUCCUAAUAAUACAAAGUGAUUCUGCAUCUGCCCACGUCCAGUAUUCCUGUACUAUCUAUUCAUAUAUCUAAGCAUAUAUGGGCUUAAUCACUUAAGCUUGUUGCAGCAAAAGCUUUCCUACCUGUAGGCAAUAGAUUGCUAUGUUUUUAACAAAUUGUAGCAAAUUCUAAAUAAUCCUUUUUGUACGUAAUAGGACAUUUCAUCCUAAAAAAUAAAGUAAUGUUUUUGACAUUGGAUUCUGUGCAGUUUCUAAUGAGACAAUGACUGGUUGGGUCAAUGUUUGCUAUAUUUUUCUGAAGCUGUUGGCAUUGCCAAGUUGUACAGAAAUGGGGGUGGGUAUGGGUUGUGGAUUUCUGAGACCAGGAAGAUGUUAAUUUCUUAUUUGUGUACUUAAUGAUAUAAAGACUUUUGCAGUUUCUAUCACCAUGUAAAGACAUUUUAUAGUUUUAUCAGACUGUGGAGUUUUAGUCUUUCAACGUACAUUUAUUUCAAAAGCUGCUUUUCUACAGAUCUCAUUUGACCUUCUUCUACUCCUCAAUAAAAGUGUUAGGCUGUCUGCUCCGUCCGGCAGACCAAGUGGUCCGAUAUGCGAUAUGGGUAGGACUCAGGUUCUGUGCCUAGAAGUUGUAUUUCUUUGCUUUGAUAGAUUUCUUUGGCUAAAAGUAUUUUUUAGCAUUUCCUGUGUUCAUCUCCAGAUUCACAGUUUAAGACCAUUUCUUAAGAGAUAUUUUCAUAACGGCGGUAAGGCUUUUUUCUCCUGUGCAGGUUCUUCAGGGCUUGUAUUUACUGUCCUGUGCUAGGUCAAAGAAAUUGCGAACUUUUGGAGAUGUUUUCUACAGUAAAAAAAUGACCUUUUUCUAUUUGGAGUGGCCUGGAGUGCUGUGUGGGACCCUCCCAAUGUGCUGCUGUCUGUAACCUGUCCUCUUAAGAGCUGCAAAUAAAACUUCUCUCCCUGUCUCCG
rnacentral:lncRNA from 1 species